rnacentral:tRNA from 6 species
UGCCCCCUUCGUCUAGACGGCCUAGGACGCCGCCCUUUCAAGGCGGUAACGCGGGUUCGAAUCCCGUAGGGGGUACCC